GAUUAGUAGCCGUACAAAAACCUCCCUCAGUCAGACUGCAGACACUCUGAGCUGUUAGAGCAGAAACUGAACAGACUCUGAUACAGACCACUGAACACAGAGAUGAAACCUCACCAAGGCCUCAGCAGUAAAUCUUUAUAAUUAACUACAAUUAAUAUUAUCUCUUUUAUAUGAAUGGUUUCUUACAAUCAAAACAAAGUCCAUUAUGAAUGUGUAUGUUUCUGUGUCCAUUUGUUUUAGCAAACACAACAUAGUUCAUUUUUAGCUUUUUAUUACCAACAUAAUUUUAAUUUGGAAGGUAAAUCAAAUUAAACUUCUAUAAAUGUUCCCUUAAUGUUUGCAGCAUAAAGUUAAAAACUAAAUGAGGUUGAAUUUAUCUGAACAGUUUAGUGGUUUCCUCUUAAGUUUCACUAGGAAAAUGAUUAUUUUCUUGUAAAUGUGAUCUGGUAAAAGAAACAACGUCAGUUUUGAUUCAAAUGUUUCACGAAACACAAACAACCACUGACAACAUAAGGCAGGGUGUCCAAAGGGAGGUUCAGGGGCCUUUAGUGGACCAUUGAAUGUUUCCUAAUUACCAAAAACAUCUUCUUACAUGUUGGGUACAUCUUUUAGUCUUUUAAUAAACAAGGUUGUUGCAUUUUUUUCAUUUCUUAGUGAACUGAACCACAUUUAUCCAGAGACUUUUCCUCAAAAGCAAAAUAUGUCACACCUUCAAUUAAAUCAUCAAACUUGAAUAAAGCUGCAAACCUUUUCAAAGACACAGGAAUCCAAACUUUUUCCUUUAGUUGAGAAUGGACAGAAUUUAUUUUGUUUAUGCAAUGAGGCAAAACAAAUUGUAAAACUUCACUUUUAUUCUUUAUAAGGCAAAUGUACUGAGAUAAUACAUAAAUAAAUAUUUAAUCCUUGUAUUUUGCAUCUGACUCACCUUUCAUCUCCUCACACACCAGGUGUCUGUUUGACUGUUUGCUGCUUUGAAUGAUUGCUCUGCUUCGCUGCUCCUGGAUCAGUUUAAAGUGAAACUCAGAGAAGCUCCUCUGCAGUCUGACGGUCAAACUUUUCUCAGCUAUGAUGUUACUGAGUCCUCUGUUGAUCACGCUGCUGCUGCAGCUGCAAGGAUCAGAUGGUAAUCCCUCUGUGACUCAGUCUCCAGCAGUGAAGUCAGCGGCGUUGGGGGAGACGGUCUCUCUGAGCUGCUCAGCCAGUGAAGGAGUUGAUGAUGAUCUGAGUUGGUACCUGCAGAAACCUGGACAGCCUCCCAAACUGUUAUUUUAUAAAAUCAGCAGCCGUCAAUCUGAUACUCCCAGUCAUUUCAGCAGCAGUGGAUCAGAGCCUCAGUUCACUUUGACCAUCAGUGGAGUUCAGGCUGAAGAUGCUGGAGAUUAUUACUGUAUGGGUGUGUAUUUAGUAAAUGUUGACUACGUGUUCACACAGUGAUUAGUAGCCGUACAAAAACCUCUCAGUCAGACCACAGACUGUUCACUGUGCAGCAGCUGUGAGUUUCUGCUGCCGACUGGAACUAGGAUCUACAGUCAAGUGAAGUUCAUGCUGUAAUGUUAAUGGAAGAAAAUAACAAUGUAUUUAUUUAUUGAAAAUAGAGAUCAACAUUUAUGUGAGUUUUAAAUAAACUCAGAGUGUAGAAUAUGUCCCAAUAACAUCACUUAUGUUCAUCAGAAAUUAUUUUACAACUCAUGAGACUAAAGUCUCAGAAAAUUUUAUAUGUUCAUUAAACACAGAAAAUAUAUCAGGUUGCUGUAAAAACUCUAUUUACUGCAGCAUGGAGUUUGAGGUGAACAAAAUAUUUAUUAAACAUCAGUAAUCAAACUGGUUGCCUAUUGGUUUGAUUAAUUAAAGUAUCAGGAUAAAUUGAUUUUCAAAAUUACUAUGAUGGACAUGUCUGAUGUAAUUUUCCUGAACUAAUCCAAGGAGGAUCACUGUGUGUCUUUAUUCAUUUAAUGCAACACAGUUUACUCAGUGAGGAACAUCUGACACUAAAACUAAAGUGGAACGCCAUUUAUUGAAAGUAUUUUUAUUUUAAAUAAUAGAUGUUGAUGAAAUCUUUAAUAUUCAAUAAACUGAAGAUUUAUUAAUGUGAGAAA